rnacentral:rRNA from 1 species
GAUGAACGCUGGCGGUAUGUCUAAGGCAUGCAAGUCUAAGGUGCUCUUCGGAGCGCCUGGCAAACGGGAGAGUAACACAUUGGUAACUUACCCCUAGUUCAAGUAUAACCCCAUGAAAAUGGGGAUAAUCCUUGAUAGUCCAUUAAUUUCUAGCAAUAGAAUUUAAUGGUAAAGGUCCGCCGACUAGGGAGAGGCCUAUGGCUUAUCAGCUUGUUGGUGAGGUAAAUGCUCACCAAGGCGAUGACGAGUAGCGGGCGUAAGAGCGUGGCCCGUCUCACUGGAACUGAGACACUGUCCAGACUCCUACGGGAGGCUGCAGUCAAGAAUCUUUCGCAAUGGCCAAAAGGCUGACGGAGCAAUACCGCGUGAAGGAAGACACCCCUCGGGGCGUAAACUUCUUUUCUUAGGGAAGAAUUCGUGACGUUACCUAAGGAAUAAGCCACUGCUAACUUCGU